rnacentral:rRNA from 1 species
CCUACGGUGAGCAGCAGUCGAGAAUCAUUCACAAUGGGGGAAACCCUGAUGGUGCGACGCCGCGUGGGGGAAUGAAGGUCUUCGGAUUGUAAACCCCUGUCAUGUGGGAGCAAAUUAAAAAGAUAGUACCACAAGAGGAAGAGACGGCUAACUCUGUGCCAGCAGCCGCGGUAAUACAGAGGUCUCAAGCGGUGUUCGGAAUCACUGGGCGUAAAGCGUGUGUAGGCUGUUUCGUAAGUCGUGUGUGAAAGGCGCGGGCUCAACCCGCGGACGGCACAUGAUACUGCGAGACUAGAGUAAUGGAGGGGGAACCGGAAUUCUCGGUGGAGCAGUGAAAUGCGUAGAUAUCGAGAGGAACACUCGUGGCGAAGGCGGGUUCCUGGACAUUAACUGACGCUGAGGCACGAAGGCCAGGGGAGCGAAAGGGAUUAGAUACCCCGGUAGUC